CCCUUAGAUGUUCUGGGCCGCACGCGCGCUACACUGAUGCAUUCAACGAGUCUAAAACCUGCUCUGAUAGGGGUGGGUAAUCUUUUGAAUGUGCAUCGUGAUUGGGAUAGAUGAUUGCAAUUUUUCAUCUUCAACGAGGAAUGCCUAGUAAACGCAAGUCAUCAGUUUGCAUUGAUUACGUCCCUGCCCUUUGUACACACCGCCCGUCGCUCCUACCGAUUGAAUGAUCCGAUGAAUAUCAUGGAUUGAGGAUGCAAGCAGGUUCGCCUGUCUUCAUCUUCGAGAAGUGAAGUAAAUCUUAUCAUUUAGAGGAAGGAGAAGUCGUAACA
rnacentral:rRNA from 1 species